rnacentral:tRNA from 1 species
GCCUGGUUGGCUCAGUUGGUUAAGCGCCUGCCUUUGGCUCAGGUCAUGAUCGCACGGUCCUGGGAUCGAGUCCCAUAUCGGGCU